UCUUUAAUGUUAGAAGAAGCUGUGUUUUCUGUCUGCUACCCCUGGCAUGGAAUGCUGAGAAAGAGCUGUGGGGCUUCAAUUCAGCUAACUGAACUAUCAAGCAUUAUCAUUCCGAUUGGAUUUGUCAUUUUGGCAAAUCUUUGGAAAUGAAGACUAGCAGGAAAAUGGAGAAAAGAAAACUGUUGGACAAAGAAGAAUACAGAAGAAAGAAAACAAUUACAGUGGAAACAAAUCAGCUCACGUGGGCAAUCAAAAUAAAGACUGACCCUAGACAGAUUGACC
rnacentral:lncRNA from 1 species